AACGAACGCUGGCGGCAUGCCUAACACAUGCAAGUCGAACGAGACCUUCGGGUCUAGUGGCGCACGGGGGCGUAACGCGGGGGAACCUGCCCUUAGGUUCGGAAUAACUCCCCGAAAGGGGUGCUAAUACCGGAUAAUGUCUUCGGACCAAAGAUUUAUCGCCUUUGGAUGGGCCCGCGUUGGAUUAGCUAGUUGGUAGGGUAAAAGCCUACCAAGGCGACGAUCCAUAGCUGGUCUGAGAGGAUGGUCAGCCACACUGGGACUGGGACACGGCCCAGACUCCUGCGGGAGGCAGCAGUGGGGAAUAUUGGACAAUGGGCGAAAGCCUGAUCCAGCAAUGCCGCGUGAGUGAUGAAGGCCUUAGGGUUGUAAAGCUCUUUUACCCGGGAUGAUAAUGACAGUACCGGGAGAAUAAGCUCCGGCUAACUCCGUG
rnacentral:rRNA from 1 species